rnacentral:rRNA from 1 species
UCCAGACUCCUACGGGAGGCAGCAGUGGGGAAUAUUGCACAAUGGGGGAAACCCUGAUGCAGCAACGCCGCGUGAAGGAAGACGGUUUUCGGAUUGUAAACUUCUGUUCUUAGUGAAGAAGAAUGACGGUAGCUAAGGAGCAAGCCACGGCUAACUACGUGCCAGCAGCCGCGGUAAUACGUAGGUGGCAAGCGUUAUCCGGAUUUACUGGGUGUAAAGGGGGCGCAGACGGCGAUGCAAGCCAGGAGUGAAAGCCCGGGGCCCAACCCCGGGACUGCUCUUGGAACUGCGUGGCUAGAGUGCAGGAGGGGCAGGCGGAAUUCCUGGUGUAGCGGUGAAAUGCGUAGAUAUUAGGAGGAACACCAGUGGCGAAGGCGGUCUGCUGGACAGCAACUGACGGUGAGGCGCGAAAGCGUGGGGAGCAAACAGGAUUAGAUACCCCCGUAA